UACGAAGGUGGCAAGCGUUGUUCGGAAUCACUGGGCUUAAAGAGCACGUAGGCGGCCCGUCAAGUGCCUUGUGAAAUCCCCCGGCUCAACCGGGGAAUUGCUGGGCAUACUGUAGGGCUUGAGGCAGGUAGAGGCGCGUGGAACUCUUGGUGGAGCGGUGGAAUGCGUAGAUAUCAAGAGGAACGCCGGAGGCGAAAGCGAUGCGCUGGGCCUGUCCUGACGCUGAGGUGCGAAAGCUAGGGGAGCAAACGGG
rnacentral:rRNA from 1 species